rnacentral:rRNA from 1 species
UGGGGAAUAUUGGACAAUGGGCGAAAGCCUGAUCCAGCCAUGCCGCGUGUGUGAAGAAGGUCUUCGGAUUGUAAAGCACUUUAAGUUGGGAGGAAGGGCAGUAACCUAAUACGUUGCUGUCUUGACGUUACCGACAGAAUAAGCACCGGCUAACUCUGUGCCAGCAGCCGCGGUAAUACAGAGGGUGCAAGCGUUAAUCGGAAUUACUGGGCGUAAAGCGCGCGUAGGUGGUUUGUUAAGUUGGAUGUGAAAUCCCCGGGCUCAACCUGGGAACUGCAUUCAAAACUGACAAGCUAGAGUAUGGUAGAGGGUGGUGGAAUUUCCUGUGUAGCGGUGAAAUGCGUAGAUAUAGGAAGGAACACCAGUGGCGAAGGCGACCACCUGGACUGAUACUGACACUGAGGUGCGAAUGCGUGGGGAGCAAACAGGAUUAGAUACCCCAGUAGUCCCUGAGCGGGCUGGCAAGGCGCAU